GAUGAACGCUGGCGGCGUGCCUAAUACAUGCAAGUCGAGCGAAUGGAUUAAGAGCUUGCUCUUAUGAAGUUAGCGGCGGACGGGUGAGUAACACGUGGGUAACCUGCCCAUAAGACUGGGAUAACUCCGGGAAACCGGGGCUAAUACCGGAUAACAUUUUGAACCGCAUGGUUCGAAAUUGAAAGGCGGCUUCGGCUGUCACUUAUGGAUGGACACGCGUCGCAUUAGCUAGUUGGUGAGGUAACGGCUCACCAAGGCAACGAUGCGUAGCCGACCUGAUAGGGUGAUCGGCCUCUGUGGGACUGAGACACGGCCCAGACGCCUACGGGAGGCAGCAGUAGGGAAUCGUCGGCAAUGGACUAAAGUCUGACGGAGCAACGCCGCGUUAGUGAUGAAUGGUUUCGGGUCGUAAAACUCUGUUGGUAGGGAAGAACAAGUGCUAGUUGAAUAAGCUGACACCUUGACGGUACCUAACCAGAAAGCCACGGCUAACUACGUGCCAGCCGCCGCAGUAA
rnacentral:rRNA from 1 species